rnacentral:rRNA from 1 species
CCAGGUCAGUUUCUAUCUAUAUCUGAGUUUCUUCUAGUACGAAAGGACCGAAGAAACGCGGCCUAUGUUUCUACAAGCCGCAGCUACCAAAUUAUGACCCAGACUCAAUAAUAUCGUAGCCUAAAAAAAGACUCAAGACAAGAGUUG